rnacentral:tRNA from 1 species
GGCCCUGUGGCGCAGCUGGUAGCGCUUCUGUUAUAUAAACAGAAAGGUCCCAGGUUCGAGUCCUGGUGGGGCUU